rnacentral:rRNA from 1 species
AUUGAACGCUGGCGGCAUGCCUAACACAUGCAAGUCGAACGGGGCAGCAAUGCCUAGUGGCGGACGGGUGAGGAAUACGUAGGAAUCUGCCCUUAAGUGGGGGAUAACCAGGGGAAACCCUGACUAAUACCGCAUGAUCUCUUCGGAGCAAAGAGGGGGACCGCAAGGCCUCUCGCUUCUGGAUGAGCCUACGUCUGAUUAGCUAGUUGGUAGGGUAAAGGCCUACCAAGGCGACGAUCAGUAACUGGUCUGAGAGGAUGAUCAGUUACACCGGAACUGAGACACGGUCCGGACUCCUACGGGAGGCAGCAGUGGGGAAUAUUGGACAAUAGGCGCAAGCCUGAUCCAGCAAUGCCGCGUGUGUGAAGAAGGCCUUCGGGUUGUAAAGCACUUUAGCCUGGAAAGAAAAAACUUUGGUUAACACCCAAAGUCUUGACGGUACCAGGAGAAUAAGCACCGGCUAACUCCGUGCCAGCCGCCGCGGUAAUAC